GCAGGGGGCCCCAAAGGGGAGUGCUCUUCUCCUGGAGCAACGCCUGGAGGAGCUGAGAAGGGAACUGCAGGGCCUUCGGAGCCAGGUGUGGGAGCAAGCCCAAGCCCAAGCCCAGAUGCAAACAGGACAAGGAGAAUGCAGUACUACCAAUGGCCUUCCUCAGGAGCUGCAGACUGAAAUAGCACUGCUGUCACUCCUACAGUGCUGGAUCUCCAUUCAUGUUGUCCAAUUAAGCUGCCUCUAGCCACUACCUUCACCAUGUCUGUUUCUUCAUCCAGCUCUUAACUCAGUCUUCUGGACAGUAACAGUAGCUGGGAUCUUUUAUGGAAGCCAGAUCCCCAGAGGAGCACCCUUUCUAACCUGGAGCCCAGCAUCUUUCAGCUCCAUGCCCAGAGUCUUAAGCAAGAGGACCUAUUCCUUUGGAGCCCCAAAAUGCUCCUGAAUGACCUGUAAGGACUCGUUAAGAAUAGUAGGAUGAAGGCUUCUUUGCCCACCCUCCCCUCCAAGGCCCUGUUUCUGGGCUGCCCGCCCCUACUUUCUUGAAGUAGCUAUUAUCUGUCUUCUCUACUGAGGCUUUUCACUGCCUGCCCAUCCUUGCCUCCCAUCUCAGCUCACUGCAAACUCUGAACUCCCAGGUUCAAGCGAUUCUCCUGCCUCAGCCUCCCAAGUAGCUGGGAUUACAGGUGUGCGCUAAUUUUUGUAUUUUUAGUAGAGACGGGGUUUCACCAUGUUGGCCAGUCUGGUCUUGAACUUCUGACCUCAAGUGAUCUGCCCGCCUCGACCUCCCAAGUGCUGGGAUUACAGUUGUGAGCCACCGUGCCCAGCCUGUAGCUGUACCUUCUGAGUGCAAGCUCAGUUGAACUUGGAAAGUAAUGGGAGCUCCCAUUCUGGUGAGUAGAAUGAGGUAGGACACUGCUCUGGGGCAGUAGUGCUGGGGGAUGCAAAGAAGGAUGAGAUAUUCUAGUGGGACUUGGAUCUGGACUGUAGGAGGCUACCUUUCCUCAUCUCCAGCUUCUGCCUUUUUUUUUUUUUUUUUUUUUUUUGAGACAAGGUCUUACUCUGUUGCCCAGGCUGGAGUGCAGUGGCAUGAUCUUGGCUCACUGCAGCCUCUGCUUCCUGGACUAAAGCAAUCCUCCCACCUUAGCCUCCCAAGUAAUAAUAUAUGGGACUACAGGCACACGCUAUCAUGCCUGGCUAAUUUUUAAAUAUUUUUUGUAGAGACAGGUUUUCACCAUGUUGCCCAGGCUGGUCUUGAACUCCUGGGCUCAACUGAUCCACCAACUUUGGCCUCCCAAAGUGUUCAGAUUACAGGUGUGAGCUGCUACCAUGCCUAGCCCCAGCUUCUGCUGCUUGAGGCUCUCUUUGGCAUCUCCACACAUCAUCCUUAGCAGCCCAGACUGCAUUUCUGUAGCAGCCUCUUCCCUGGUCUCUUCUUUUAGUCUGUCUGCCUCUAAUCCAGUGGCUUUAAUAAUUUUUUGGCUGUGACUUCCAGUAAGAAAUACAAUUUACAUUGUGACCUAGUAAAUAUGUGUGUAGAUUUAUUAACCGAAAUAAAAAUAUGAUGAUUUAA
rnacentral:sRNA from 1 species